AACACGCAAUUUAGGGUCUUUCAGAAAUUUUGGUGGCACCCGCUGAGAACGGAAACUUG
rnacentral:sRNA from 1 species